AUGAUUGCUCUUAUCGGUAUGGCUCCUACCGAGGCUGAGGAUGAUGUAGAGGAGGGAGAAGAGAAGAAGAAGAGGGAAAGGAAGGCAGCCGGAGCUGCUUUCACGUGGAUUCAAAAUAACUUUGCGACGUGCCCUCCGGAUGCAACUGAUGAUGUGAUCCAGACACAUGCUCGUGUGUAUAUGUGGUACAUUGUGUCGAGGACUUUGUUUCCUGACUCCACUGGCAAGAACGCUCCAUGGAUGUGGCUGAAGGCGUUGACCGUCUUCGAUAGCAAAUGGAGCUGGGGUUCAGCGACUCUUGCCUACUUGUACCGACAGGUAGUUGGUCUGUUUUGUGAUCAACUCAUUUAUUCAUUAGCAAUGCAAGCUUGCUGUCAAGUUAACAUUGUUUUUCUUUCAUAUGUAGCUGGAUGA
rnacentral:rRNA from 1 species